UGGGGAAUAUUGGGCAAUGGGCGCAAGCCUGACCCAGCAACGCCGCGUGAGGGAAGAAGGUUUUCGGAUUGUAAACCUCUGUCGCAGAAGACGAAGGAAGUGACGGUAAUCUGUGAGGAAGCCCCGGCUAACUACGUGCCAGCAGCCGCGGUAAUACGUAGGGAGCGAGCGUUAUCCGGAAUUAUUGGGUGUAAAGGGUGCGUAGACGGGAAGAUAAGUUAGUUGUGAAAUCCCUCGGCUUAACUGAGGAACUGCAACUAAAACUGUUUUCUUGAGUGCAGGAGAGGUAAGUGGAAUUCCUAGUGUAGCGGUGAAAUGCGUAGAUAUUAGGAGGAACACCAGUGGCGAAGGCGACUUACUGGACUGUAACUGACGUUGAGGCACGAAAGUGUGGGGAGCAAACAGGAUUAGAUACCCUGGUAGU
rnacentral:rRNA from 1 species